UACAGAGGUCUCAAGCGUUGUUCGGAUUCAUUGGGCGUAAAGGGUGCGUAGGCGGCGCGGUAAGUCGGGUGUGAAAUCUCGGAGCUUAACUCCGAAACUGCAUUCGAUACUGCCGUGCUUGAGGACUGGAGAGGAGACUGGAAUUUACGGUGUAGUGGUGAAAUGCGUAGAUAUCGUAAGGAAGACCAGUGGCGAAGGCGGGUCUCUGGACAGUUCCUGACGCUGAGGCACGAAGGUCAGGGGAGCAAACGGG
rnacentral:rRNA from 1 species